rnacentral:rRNA from 1 species
UACGGAGGGAGCUAGCGUUGUUCGGAAUUACUGGGCGUAAAGCGCACGUAGGCGGCGAUUCAAGUCAGAGGUGAAAGCCCGGGGCUCAACCCCGGAACUGCCUUUGAAACUAGAUUGCUAGAAUCCUGGAGAGGUUAGUGGAAUUCCGAGUGUAGAGGUGAAAUUCGUAGAUAUCGGGAGGAACACCAGUGGCGAAGGCGGCGACCUGGGCCAAUACUGACGCUGAGGUGCGAAAGCGUGGGGAGCAAACAGG